GACGAACGCUGGCGGCGUGCUUAACACAUGCAAGUCGAACGGAAAGGCCCUGCUUUUGUGGGGUGCUCGAGUGGCGAACGGGUGAGUAACACGUGAGUAACCUGCCCUUGACUUUGGGAUAACUUCAGGAAACUGGGGCUAAUACCGGAUAGGAGCUCCUGCUGCAUGGGGGGGGUUGGAAAGUUUCGGCGGUUGGGGAUGGACUCGCGGCUUAUCAGCUUGUUGGUGGGGUAGUGGCUUACCAAGGCUUUGACGGGUAGCCGGCCUGAGAGGGUGACCGGCCACAUUGGGACUGCGAUACGGCCCAGACUCCUACGGGCGGCAGCAGUGGGGAAUAUUGCACAAUGGGCGGAAGCCUGAUGCGGCAACGCCGCGUGCGGGAUGACGGCCUUCGGGUUGUAAACCGCUUUCGCCUGUGACGAAGCGUGAGUGACGGUAAUGGGUAAAGAAGCACCGGCUAACUACGUG
rnacentral:rRNA from 1 species